rnacentral:rRNA from 1 species
GACGAACGCUGGCGGCGUGCCUAAUACAUGCAAGUAGAACGCACAGUUUAUACCGUAGCUUGCUACACCAUAGACUGUGAGUUGCGAACGGGUGAGUAACGCGUAGGUAACCUGCCUGGUAGCGGGGGAUAACUAUUGGAAACGAUAGCUAAUAACGCAUAAUAUUAAUUAUUGCAUGAUAAUUAAUUGAAAGGUGCAAUUGCACCACUACCAGAUGGUCCUGCGUUGUAUUAGCUAGUAGGUGAGGUAACGGAUCACCUAGGCGACGAUACAUAGCCGACCUGAGAGGGUGAUCGGCCACACUGGGACUGAGACACGGCCCAGACUCCUACGGGAGGCAGCAGUAGGGAAUCUUCGGCAAUGGACGAAAGUCUGACCGAGCAACGCCGCGUGAGUGAAGAAGGUUUUCGGAUCGUAAAGCUCUGUUGUAAGAGAAGAACGGGUGUGAGAGUGGAAAGUUCACACUGUGACGGUAUCUUACCAGAAAGGGACGGCUAACUACGUG